GGGUUGUGAGGUUAAGCGACUAAGCGUACACGGUGGAUGCCCUGGCAGUCAGAGGCGAUGAAGGACGUGCUAAUCUGCGAUAAGCGUCGGUAAGGUGAUAUGAACCGUUAUAACCGGCGAUUUCCGAAUGGGGAAACCCAGUGUGUUUCGACACACUAUCAUUAACUGAAUCCAUAGGUUAAUGAGGCGAACCGGGGGAACUGAAACAUCUAAGUACCCCGAGGAAAAGAAAUCAACCGAGAUUCCCCCAGUAGCGGCGAGCGAACGGGGAGGAGCCCAGAGCCUGAAUCAGUGUGUGUGUUAGUGGAAGCGUCUGGAAAGGCGCGCGAUACAGGGUGACAGCCCCGUACACAAAAAUGCACAUAUUGUGAGCUCGAUGAGUAGGGCGGGACACGUGGUAUCCUGUCUGAAUAUGGGGGGACCAUCCUCCAAGGCUAAAUACUCCUGACUGACCGAUAGUGAACCAGUACCGUGAGGGAAAGGCGAAAAGAACCCCGGCGAGGGGAGUGAAAAAGAACCUGAAACCGUGUACGUACAAGCAGUGGGAGCACGCUUAGGCGUGUGACUGCGUACCUUUUGUAUAAUGGGUCAGCGACUUAUAUUCUGUAGCAAGGUUAACCGAAUAGGGGAGCCGAAGGGAAACCGAGUCUUAACUGGGCGUUAAGUUGCAGGGUAUAGACCCGAAACCCGGUGAUCUAGCCAUGGGCAGGUUGAAGGUUGGGUAACACUAACUGGAGGACCGAACCGACUAAUGUUGAAAAAUUAGCGGAUGACUUGUGGCUGGGGGUGAAAGGCCAAUCAAACCGGGAGAUAGCUGGUUCUCCCCGAAAGCUAUUUAGGUAGCGCCUCGUGAAUUCAUCUCCGGGGGUAGAGCACUGUUUCGGCAAGGGGGUCAUCCCGACUUACCAACCCGAUGCAAACUGCGAAUACCGGAGAAUGUUAUCACGGGAGACACACGGCGGGUGCUAACGUCCGUCGUGAAGAGGGAAACAACCCAGACCGCCAGCUAAGGUCCCAAAGUCAUGGUUAAGUGGGAAACGAUGUGGGAAGGCCCAGACAGCCAGGAUGUUGGCUUAGAAGCAGCCAUCAUUUAAAGAAAGCGUAAUAGCUCACUGGUCGAGUCGGCCUGCGCGGAAGAUGUAACGGGGCUAAACCAUGCACCGAAGCUGCGGCAGCGACGCUUAUGCGUUGUUGGGUAGGGGAGCGUUCUGUAAGCCUGCGAAGGUGUGCUGUGAGGCAUGCUGGAGGUAUCAGAAGUGCGAAUGCUGACAUAAGUAACGAUAAAGCGGGUGAAAAGCCCGCUCGCCGGAAGACCAAGGGUUCCUGUCCAACGUUAAUCGGGGCAGGGUGAGUCGACCCCUAAGGCGAGGCCGAAAGGCGUAGUCGAUGGGAAACAGGUUAAUAUUCCUGUACUUGGUGUUACUGCGAAGGGGGGACGGAGAAGGCUAUGUUGGCCGGGCGACGGUUGUCCCGGUUUAAGCGUGUAGGCUGGUUUUCCAGGCAAAUCCGGAAAAUCAAGGCUGAGGCGUGAUGACGAGGCACUACGGUGCUGAAGCAACAAAUGCCCUGCUUCCAGGAAAAGCCUCUAAGCAUCAGGUAACAUCAAAUCGUACCCCAAACCGACACAGGUGGUCAGGUAGAGAAUACCAAGGCGCUUGAGAGAACUCGGGUGAAGGAACUAGGCAAAAUGGUGCCGUAACUUCGGGAGAAGGCACGCUGAUAUGUAGGUGAAGUCCCUUGCGGAUGGAGCUGAAAUCAGUCGAAGAUACCAGCUGGCUGCAACUGUUUAUUAAAAACACAGCACUGUGCAAACACGAAAGUGGACGUAUACGGUGUGACGCCUGCCCGGUGCCGGAAGGUUAAUUGAUGGGGUCAGCGCAAGCGAAGCUCUUGAUCGAAGCCCCGGUAAACGGCGGCCGUAACUAUAACGGUCCUAAGGUAGCGAAAUUCCUUGUCGGGUAAGUUCCGACCUGCACGAAUGGCGUAAUGAUGGCCAGGCUGUCUCCACCCGAGACUCAGUGAAAUUGAACUCGCUGUGAAGAUGCAGUGUACCCGCGGCAAGACGGAAAGACCCCGUGAACCUUUACUAUAGCUUGACACUGAACAUUGAGCCUUGAUGUGUAGGAUAGGUGGGAGGCUUUGAAGUGUGGACGCCAGUCUGCAUGGAGCCGGCCUUGAAAUACCACCCUUUAAUGUUUGAUGUUCUAACGUGGACCCGUGAUCCGGGUUGCGGACAGUGUCUGGUGGGUAGUUUGACUGGGGCGGUCUCCUCCUAAAGAGUAACGGAGGAGCACGAAGGUUGGCUAAUCCUGGUCGGACAUCAGGAGGUUAGUGCAAUGGCAUAAGCCAGCUUGACUGCGAGCGUGACGGCGCGAGCAGGUGCGAAAGCAGGUCAUAGUGAUCCGGUGGUUCUGAAUGGAAGGGCCAUCGCUCAACGGAUAAAAGGUACUCCGGGGAUAACAGGCUGAUACCGCCCAAGAGUUCAUAUCGACGGCGGUGUUUGGCACCUCGAUGUCGGCUCAUCACAUCCUGGGGCUGAAGUAGGUCCCAAGGGUAUGGCUGUUCGCCAUUUAAAGUGGUACGCGAGCUGGGUUUAGAACGUCGUGAGACAGUUCGGUCCCUAUCUGCCGUGGGCGCUGGAGAACUGAGGGGGGCUGCUCCUAGUACGAGAGGACCGGAGUGGACGCAUCACUGGUGUUCGGGUUGUCAUGCCAAUGGCACUGCCCGGUAGCUAAAUGCGGAAGAGAUAAGUGCUGAAAGCAUCUAAGCACGAAACUUGCCCCGAGAUGAGUUCUCCCUGACCCUUUAAGGGUCCUGAAGGAACGUUGAAGACGACGACGUUGAUAGGCCGGGUGUGUAAGCGCAGCGAUGCGUUGAGCUAACCGGUACUAAUGAACCGUGAGGCUUAACCUUACAACGCCGAAG
rnacentral:rRNA from 1 species